rnacentral:rRNA from 1 species
CCCUUAGAUGUUCUGGGCCGCACGCGCGCUACACUGAUGCAUUCAACAAGCCUAGCCUUGACCGAGAGGUCCGGGUAAUCUUUGAACCUGCAUCGUGAUGGGGCUAGAUUAUUGCAAUUAUUAAUCUUCAACGAGGAAUGCCUAGUAAGCGUGAUUCAUCAAAUCGCGUUGAUUACGUCCCUGCCCUUUGUACACACCGCCCGUCGCUCCUACCGAUUGAAUGUGUUGGUGAGGAGCUCGGAUUGGCAGCAGUUGGUGGUUCGCCACCGGCUAUUGCUGAGAAGUCCUCCAAACCGCCCCAUUUAGAGGAAGGAGAAGUCGUAACA